rnacentral:rRNA from 1 species
UGGUAAUGCCGGAUGCUCCAACUUUUCGCAUGGUUUGUUGGGAAAGCUUUCGCGGUAUGGGAUGGGGUCGCGUCCUAUCAGCUUGACGGCGGGGUAACGGCCCACCGUGGCUUCGACGGGUAGCCGGCCUGAGAGGGCGACCGGCCACAUUGGGACUGAGAUACGGCCCAGACUCCUACGGGAGGCAGCAGUGGGGAAUAUUGCACAAUGGGCGCAAGCCUGAUGCAGCGACGCCGCGUGAGGGAUGGAGGCCUUCGGGUUGUAAACCUCUUUUAUCGGGGAGCAAGCGAGAGUGAGUUUACCCGUUGAAUAAGCACCGGCUAACUACGUGCCAGCAGCCGCGGUAAUACGUAGGGUGCAAGCGUUAUCCGGAAUUAUUGGGCGUAAAGGGCUCGUAGGCGGUUCGUCGCGUCCGGUGUGAAAGUCCAUCGCUUAACGGUGGAUCCGCGCCGGGUACGGGCGGGCUUGAGUGCGGUAGGGGAGACUGGAAUUCCCGGUGUAACGGUGGAAUGUGUAGAUAUCGGGAAAGAACACCA